UUAUGUAUUUAAUUUAGUAAGUGAAUUUUAUUAUAUUUUAUGUCUUAGACUCACCAUAAACGGGUAUAAACUUCUGUUAUGCCAAAGCUAGCCGAGUGGCUAAAGGUGAGGACUUCGUUACUAGGCCUUGAAGUAUACAAGAAAUUGAAGGAAGGCAUGCGAGUACUGGGAUGUUUGGAUCAAUUUCUGGCCCUAGAGAAAAAAAUACAGAGUAAUGUUGCCUUAGCAAGGUGCAUUCACGGGAAUCUCACCCAUCAUCAUUAAUUACAAUGCAAAAAGGUGUGGAAUAACAAAUUGUUUCUCUCUCUAGCUUUCUAGAGAGAGAAAUUCCUCUCUGUCUUAUUGUUUUUGAGGCUCCUGGCCUUCAAGUUCUACGGCGUUUGCAGCUUUCUUCUACCCCAUCCGGACAAAGAAGGGUUUCCCUACAGGCCUGGGGCAUGGUUUCUCCCUCCCCACCUUCGGGUAGGAUGUAAAUAUUUGGUUUUGUGGCUUUUGAUUUGACGUGAUGAGUUGCAAAGGGAGAUGGUAACUCGAGGUUCUAUACCCGCGCUUGAUGAUGCAAGCCACUGACCCAACGGCUAAAUAAGAAUUAGAUGCCAGAGCUCUGCCAUAUCUCUCUUUCAGAGCCUUUGGAGAAAGAUCCGGGCUUCAACCUUCAAGAGAUUGGGGUGAUGUUUUUGACAUUGGGGUUUCUGCUUUUUUGGUUGUUCUUAGCCUCGUAUGCUUCCAGUGGUAGAGUCCUUAUUGGUUUCCUUGCUCCUGGUAGUUGUUCCAUUCCCACUGGGGCUGGGUUUACCAGGCGAUAUAGGCAGCAGCUCUGUGAAGAGAUGAUAAAGGCGCUGCUCCUUUGACCUCAGCAGGUACCAAGCUCUAGGGUUCUGGUUCUGUGGCCUCUGGGCCUUCGCCAAUGGGCUUAUUAGCAGGAUUUGGGUGAAUUUUUCCUUAUACUAGGCUUUGUGCUGAAUUCUAUAAUCUCUUUUGGAAAAAAAAAAAAUCAAUAAUUACAAUGCCUUCCAAA